rnacentral:rRNA from 1 species
GACGAACGCUGGCGGCGCGCCUAAUACAUGCAAGUCGAACGGGCACCCUUCGGGGUGUCAGUGGCGGACGGGUGAGUAACACGUAAGUAACCUGCCCGGAAGUGGGGAAUAACUGACCGAAAGGUUGGCUAAUACCGCAUGUGAUGGCUCUUCCCUGGAGGAGUCAUUAAAGGCGAAAGUCGCUUCUGGAGGGGCUUGCGGCCGAUUAGCUAGUUGGUGGGGUAACGGCCUACCAAGGCGACGAUCGGUAGCUGGUCUGAGAGGACGGACAGCCACACGGGGACUGAGAUACGGCCCCGACUCCUACGGGAGGCAGCAGCUAGGAAUCUUGGGAAUGGGCGAAAGCCUGACCCAGCAACGCCGCGUGGGCGAUGAAGGCCUU